rnacentral:tRNA from 1 species
CCUUCGAUAGCUCAGUUGGUAGAGCGGUGGACUGUAGAGAGUGGUGAACACACACGAUAGAGAGAAAUCCAUAGGUCGCUGGUUCAAAUCCGGCUCGAAGGA